AGAGUUUGAUCCUGGCUCAGAUUGAACGCUGGCGGCAUGCCUUACACAUGCAAGUCGAACGGCAGCACGGGGGCAACCCUGGUGGCGAGUGGCGAACGGGUGAGUAAUAUAUCGGAACGUGUCCUGUAGCGGGGGAUAACCUAUCGAAAGAUGGACUAAUACCGCAUACGAUCUACGGAUGAAAGCGGAGGACCGCAAGGCUUCGCACUAUAGGAGCGGCCGAUAUCGGAUUAGCUAGUUGGCGGGGUAAAAGCCCACCAAGGCGACGAUCCGUAGCUGGUCUGAGAGGAUGAUCAGCCACACUGGAACUGAGACACGGUCCAGACUCCUACGGGAGGCAGCAGUGGGGAAUUUUGGACAAUGGGCGCAAGCCUGAUCCAGCCAUGCCGCGUGAGUGAAGAAGGCCUUCGGGUUGUAAAGCUCUUUCGGCAGGAACGAAAUGGUUCGUGCUAAUACCACGGACUGAUGACGGUACCUGAAGAAGAAGCACCGGCUAACUACGUGCCAGCAGCCGCGGUAAUACGUAGGGUGCAGGCGUUAAUCGGAAUUACUGGGCGUAAAGCGUGCGCAGGCGGUUUCUUAAGUCAGAUGUGAAAGCCCCGGGCUUAACCUGGGAACUGCGUUUGAAACUGGGAGACUUGAGUGUAGCAGAGGGGGGUGGAAUUCCACGUGUAGCAGUGAAAUGCGUAGAUAUGUGGAGGAACACCGAUGGCGAAGGCAACCCCCUGGGUUAACACUGACGCUCAUGCACGAAAGCGUGGGGAGCAAACAGGAUUAGAUACCCCCGUAGUCC
rnacentral:rRNA from 1 species